rnacentral:rRNA from 1 species
AACGAACGCUGGCGGCAGGCCUAACACAUGCAAGUCGAACGCCGUAGCAAUACGGAGUGGCAGACGGGUGAGUAACACGUGGGAACAUACCCUUCGGUUCGGAAUAACUCAGGGAAACUUGAGCUAAUACCGGAUACGUCCGCGAGGAGAAAGAUUCAUCGCCGGAGGAUUGGCCCGCGUCUGAUUAGCUUGUUGGUGAGGUAAUGGCUCACCAAGGCGACGAUCAGUAGCUGGUCUGAGAGGAUGAUCAGCCACAUUGGGACUGAGACACGGCCCAAACUCCUACGGGAGGCAGCAGUGGGGAAUAUUGGACAAUGGGCGCAAGCCUGAUCCAGCCAUGCCGCGUGAGUGAUGAAGGCCCUAGGGUUGUAAAGCUCUUUUACCCGGGAAGAUAAUGACUGUACCGGGAGAAUAACGCCCCGG